rnacentral:rRNA from 1 species
UCUUGUGCAAUGCACGAAAGUAUGACACAGAGAGGACACAUUUAUUUGAGCCCGUCAAAUUAAGUGCCAGCCGACGCGGUUAGACUUAAGGGCUGGUCUUUAUAAGUAAAAAGGCGUAAAGGAUGUGUAGGCCAAGAAAUUAUCAAAGAAGGUAAAUGGAAUUUUUCUGGAGCGGUAGAAUGUGAGGAUAGAAAAUAGAACACCUAAGGUUAAAACUAUUUACCACAAAAUAGGCUGAAACAUGAAAGUGUGGGGAGCAAACAGGAUUAGAGACCCUGGUAGUCCACACUGUGAACUCUGAAGAUGAUGCUUAGCAGACCCGAAAGGUAAAAUCUUCCGCCUGAGUAGUACGAUCGCAAGAUUAAAAUUCAAAAACUUUGGCUGUUCACUAUUUCGAUUAGAGGAGCGUGUAGUUUAAUUCGAUGGUCCGCGUGUUACCUUACCUCAGCUUGAAUCUAUGACCGGUAUUGCAUGGCCGUCGUAAGUCCGUGUGUUAAGCUAGAAGGGACCCAAUCCGGGCGUUUGCCCGAAGGAAGUCAGGUCUUAUGAUCCGAAUGUUGAGGGAUUAUAUGCGCUACAUUUUCUUAUAUAAUGAGAGACUUGAAAGGUAAGCCUCUAAAGUAAGAGUUCGGAAGGUCGCUGUAAAACGACUGGAAGUUGGAUUUAAUAGUAAUCGGAAAGUAGAGCGUUCCGGUGAAUUGGUACAAGUGUUAGCACAAAAUUGCCCGUCACCUUUACCUAGGAUGGUUAUUCGGACGCCUUCGGUGGUUACGAAU